UUUAAGCAUAUCACUCAGUGGAGGAAGCCCAAGCAACUGCGGUUGCUGCAGUAACGGCGAUUGAACUGGCCUAUGCCCUGGGUGUUUGCCUCUGGCACACCACGGCUCAGCCCGAAUGAGACGGCCUCUGCAGGUCGGCUAUUGUGGUCUCUGCAAAUGCUGUGGGUUGUCAUUGGAGCUGGUGGCGAUGACUGUGGGCUGGCUGUUGGCACAAGGGAAAGGCCCUGGAAUGGCCUACUCCAGAGGGAUACUGUCCCGUACCUGACAUACAAGUGCUAACGGCUGCCUAUGGCAACUCGCUGCUGGUAUCCACGAGUAGAGCGGCUUGGGACUGCAGUUUGAAAGUGGCAGGUGUAUCCCGUGCCAAGGUGGAAUACCAACGUGGGACCGAUAGAGCACAAGUAGAGUGAUUGAAGGAUGCAAAGGACUUUGCAAAGAGGGUUAAAAGUCCCUGAAGCCUCGGCAGGAUCGGCGGUGAGUGGUGCUGUGGCAAACUUCCCAAGCAACCUUGGGUCAGCCCGAGGCUGGCUGCUGAGCCUGCCCAAGUCUCUCCUCUGGGGAGCUGGGGUGGAUGCUCUCAUUCGCAGCAGCCCUGCGGUGGCAAUCCUGCUUGCCAGGACCUGAGGCUCUGUGAGAGGCAGUGGGUGAGAGAGACCCUGCCAGAGAUACCAACCAAAGCUGCUGGGUGUGAGAGACCAUUCCCUCCGUGUGAGGACUCCUGCUGCUCUGUUUGCCAAUGCCAAGAGGCAUAUGGGGGCUGCCCCCCUGGGGUGUGCACAACCGGAACUCCCUGUGGACCUGUCUGCCUGUGGAGGAAGACUGGGAGGAGAGGAGGCUCUCGCGCCUUCACUCUCCUUUCUGGGCUCCCCUCCUGGGUGUGGAUCAUGUGGGGUGCAAGCUCUUGGUGAAGGUGGCACCAAGUGGUGAGCUGGAGCAAAGGGAAGAGCACGGAGAGGAUGGAUCCUCUCCUUGGGGAGUGGCCACGCGAUGCCAAAACCUGGUGUGUCCUCGGGCAUGCCAGUCACCAGUGCCCAGACGCGGAUUGGGGCUGCCGGGUGUGUGGGAGUUGCACCACAUUGAUGGUGGCUGCUGCACAUCUUGGUGGCCCUCCGGAUGGUGCCUGGUGUGGACUGGGGCAUUCUUACCACCCUGCGGCAGUGUGGAGCUUGGUGUGGAAUCAGCGCCGCUCCCUGCCCGUCUUGAAACACGGACCACGGAGUCUUUGGAGCUUGCAGGUUUGCUGGUGUGAUCUUGGAAAACCCAGCCUCUACUGUCCUCCUGUGUGUGCCACAUCACAGCCACAGCCUGGGGUGUCCAAAAGGAUGCACAGGAUCUCCUCUCGCGGAGUGUGCAUCAUGUGCUGGGUGGUGGUUGUGGCCCACAGUGACAGUGAAAGAGGAGAGAUGGGGCAUGGUGAAGGCAACUUGGAUUCCCGAGCCAUCCCAGACUGGGGGUGUGCUGGGGCAACCUGGCACACAUCACAUCUGCAUGGGACACCGGACCCACAGCCCAUUGGACAGGGUUCUGAGUGCUUGCAAGGUCCAAGGGACCCGAAAGGUGGUGAACUAUGCCAUGCUAUGGCGAAGCCGUGGGAAACUGCGGUGGAGGCCAGUCUCUGUUCUGACGUGCAAAUUGUGUAGCCUGAGCUUGGCAUAGGGGUGAAAGGCCAAUCGAACCACCUAGUAGCUGGUUUCCCUCGAAGUUUCCCUCAGGAUAGCUGGGCUCGAGUGCAUUCCUCCGGCCAAGUGGGAGCUCUGACCGAUGUGGCUCUGGCCACAGAGAGAGCGGUUCUCUCGCUAGGCAUUUCUCCGAAUGUGGUUACGUCCGGUAAAGCAACGCAUGAGAGGCACUGCGGGGAGGCUUCCCUCCUCGACCUAUCCUCGAACUGUGAAUGGGCGUGGUGUGGGAGACACCACUAUACCCUGCACAAGGCACGCUUCUUCAGUGAAUGCUGUGAGUCCAGGCAGUCCUCCACCUGGUGCUCCGAAUGCUUCUGAGCGUGUUGCCCCUGAGGCACAAGAAUGGAGCGAUGCUCGAUGCCUUCUCCUGUCUCUUCUGCUGUUGCCUCGGCCACCGCCCGCUGGGCUGUUGGUGCUGACGGAGUUCUGCUGCGGGUGCUGCAUCGCGCUGCACAUUUGCAGCACGAGGAGCCUGAGCUGCCAGCACGGCUUGGGAGGGUGGCUGUGCACACAGAGAGAAGUUGCUUUGCUAUUCUGGGCGUGUUGCUGCUGCUUUGGAGAGAUGCUAUCUGGCUGAGCGAAACCCUGUCUCGAAUUGGUGAGAGAAAGCCACAGUGGACGGCUGUGCAGACCCCGGAUGCUGCGUGGAGCGGGCGACUGAGGGUGGUGCGGGUGGACGCCUGGCCCACGCCGGGGCCGCCGCAUGGACACCCCAGCAGAGGCUUCUGCUGCUGUUGCCUGCCCAUCCAUCCCCGGGAUGCUUGCUGCUGCUGGGCUGGAACUCCGUCUGCCAAAGGGAACAAGCUGAGCCUAUGUGGGCCAAUACUGGUAAGCAGUGCUGGCGAUGCGGGGUGCUCCGAGAGUGGACUUACAGAUCCAGAGUGCUGGCUCAUACACAGAUCCCACAAAGGAUGUCGCAUGCUAUGGAUAGCAGGUCGGUGGCCAUGAAGGUUGGAACCCGCUGAGGAAUGUGUAACAACUCACCUGCCGAAGUGUGCGGCUCCGAAAAUGGAUGGUGCCCAAGUCAGUGAAGCCUUGUUGCUGUGAAGCCUCACAGUCCACCGGUGCUGUGACCAGCUGAGCAGAGCAUCACCGUGUAGGGAGGACACGGGAGACCCAAGCUGUCCAGGUUGGGGCUGCCCCUGACUGGAGCGUCUUCUGGCGCAGAUCUUGGUUGCAGUAGCGAGUACUCCAUCGGGUGAAGAGCAGGUCAACCCUGCUGUGUGUGGUUGAGGACUGGAGUGGAGCAGGUUUCCGCGCCAACAGCCGUUGGACGCGGGUCAACCGACCGUGAGCCAAGUGGUAAAUCCACCGAGCAACCAAAGCUGCCUGGCCCUCUGGGCAGGAAUGGCAAACAGGCAAGCAGGUGCAACAUUCUGCUGUGGCGGGCUGGGGCUUACCACAUUUGCUGUGUGGUGACGCUUGACAUGACUGGGAGCCAAGCAGGCUACGGGGCAGUGCACCCCUCAAGGAGUUUUCGUUUCCUUCUGAUGCAGGUCUCAUGUGGGCUAUCGAUUGGCAUGACAGAUGGUGGUGUAAGCCCUCCGGCCAGCAAGGCAGUGCACUCUAUGCACUGGCAGAGUUGCAGAGUCCUCAUUGGGAGAGUGGCACAUCAUCACCAGAGGGGUGAAACCAUGAUCAUCAGCCUCACAUGUGGACAUUCGGUGGACACUGGUCCCACAGAACUGCCUGCAAGGACACCGUGGUCCCUGGUCCCUUGCCCUCGUACCGAAUUACCGCAGCCGGUCUCUCCGGCUAGACGCCGCUGGUCAACGGAAUGAAUGCAGCUAAGGGAAGUCGGCAAACUAGCCGCGUACCUUUGGAAGAUGCGGUGGCUCCAGAGGCCAAGCCACGGGGUCCCACCACGGGCGGAGGCUGGUUGUGGGGAAGGGGUGGCUGCCCCUCAGUGGGGGUGUGGUUUCGGCCACAUUUCCCGGAGAGUGGGAGAGGCUGCUCUGAACCUGGACUGGUCCCGUUCGUCAAGGCACAGAGAACAACCAAAGCUGGCAAAGUUGCUGUUGCUUGUGCUCAGAUGUGUGACACUGCUCUGAGGAGAGAAGGGUGUGUGUGAUGGUGGUGGCACACCCCUGGAGACUUGACACUGUGCCAAUGUUGCCUGGGAGUGCUGCUGCUGCUGCUGCCCCACAUCAUAUCACUCAGUGGACAGGAGAUGCCAAAGGAGAGGAAGCAACAAGCUGUGCUGAGCCAGUGCAUGUUUGUUCACGGGGUGCAGAGAAGCAUAUAUCACUCAGUGGUGGGGGGUCAGAAGGCAGGCUGGUCCCUCUCGGGGGCUCCCAGCUGGUCCCAUCUGCACCCAUCCCCGUGGCUGAAAGGUGGCCCACAUGGAACUGUUGCUGCGCAGGGGAAUCUGACUGUUUAAUUGAAACCCAGCUUUGUGAUGGGUCCAGCUGGCUGGGCCCGCGAGGUGACUUCUGCCCAGUGCUCUGAUUGUCAUGGCCAAGAGAUUGAGCCAAGCGCGGGUAAACGGCGGGAGUAACUAUGACUCUCUUGAGGUAGCCAAAUGCCUCGUCAACCAAUUAUUGACGCGCAUGAAUGGAUCAACGAGAUUCCUGCUGUCCCUGGGUGCUCUCCGGUGAACCCACAGCCAAGGGAACGGGCUUG
rnacentral:rRNA from 1 species